GGACUGGCCCAGGGAGGUCGGCAACGCACCCAGGCGGAAAGUUAUCCAAACUCGAUCAUUUAGAGGAAGUAAAAGUCGUAACAAGGUCUCCGUUGGUGAACCAGCGAGGGAUCAUU
rnacentral:rRNA from 1 species